UUCGCUGUGGUGUAGGUGGUUAUCAUGUCCGGCUUUCAAGUGAAAGUAAUGACCCCGGUCGACCAGGGUUCGAGUCCCUGCGGCGAAA
rnacentral:tRNA from 1 species